GACGAACGCUGGCGGCGUGCUUAACACAUGCAAGUCGAACGGAAAGGCCCUGCUUUUGUGGGGUGCUCGAGUGGCGAACGGGUGAGUAACACGUGAGUAACCUGCCCUUGACUUUGGGAUAACUUCAGGAAACUGGGGCUAAUACCGGAUAGGAGCUCCUGCUGCAUGGUGGGGGUUGGAAAGUUUCGGCGGUUGGGGAUGGACUCGCGGCUUAUCAGCUUGUUGGUGGGGUAGUGGCUUACCAAGGCUUUGACGGGUAGCCGGCCUGAGAGGGUGACCGGCCACAUUGGGACUGAGAUACGGCCCAGACUCCUACGGGAGGCAGCGGUGGGGAAUAUUGCACAAUGGGCGGAAGCCUGAUGCAACAACGCCGCGUGCGGGAUGACGGCCUUCGGGUUGUAAACCGCUUUCACCUGUGACGAAGCGUGAGUGACGGUAAUGGGUGAAGAAGCACCGGCUAACUACGUG
rnacentral:rRNA from 1 species